UACGAGGGGGGCGAGCGUUGUUCGGAAUUAUUGGGCGUAAAGGGUGCGUAGGCGGUUUGGUAAGUCUGAUGUGAAAUCUAUGGGCUCAACUCAUAGUCUGCAUCGGAAACUGCCGGGCUUGAGUGUGGGAGAGGUGAGUGGAAUUCCUGGUGUAGCGGUGAAAUGCGUAGAGAUCGGAAAGAACACCAACGGCGAAAGCACUCUGCUGGGCCGACACUGACACUGAGAGACGAAAGCUAGGGGAGCGAACGGG
rnacentral:rRNA from 1 species